UGUGUCCCACGUCACCUUCAGUCCGCUCAGAGCAGAGGAAUCAUUUCCAUAGAGAGGAGGCUUUGCAUCGUCAGCUGAUCCUCCACUGAACUGAGAAGCUUUAUAGUCCUGUGACUCCAACUCUGCAGGACUCAGACCCGUCAGUCGACCACAACCACCAUGACUCUCAUCACCCUCCUCAUCUGGACGCUGGCCUGCUGCAGCUUCACAGGAUGCAGCGGCCAGGUGACUGUGACUCAGCCUCCAGUCGUGACAUUUACUCCAGGAUCCACUGUCACGCUGACCUGUAAAUCCAACCCCAGUGUUUAUGGGAAUAAUUAUUUGUCCUGGUACCAGCAGAAACCUGGACAGGCUCCCAAGCUUCUUAUACACAGAGCAUCAACUCUAUAUUCAGGAACACCAGCUCGGUUUAGUGGCAGUGGAAGCAGCUCUGACUUCUCUUUGACCAUCAGUGGAGUUCAGAGUGAAGAUGCAGCAGUUUACUACUGUCAGAGCUACCAUGAAGUAAGAGGAGCGAGUGUGUGCACUUUCGGUGGAGGAACCAAACUCGACAUUGACUUGGGUGUGGUGCGGCCCACCCUGACCGUCCUCCCCCCCUCCAGUGAAGAGCUGCAGCAGGGCAGUGCCACUGUGGUGUGUCUGGCCAGCGGGGGCUUCCCCUCAGCCUGGAGCCUGGGCUGGAAGGUGGGGGGCAGCAGCAGCUCCUCAGGGGUGUCUCACAGCCCGGGGGUCCUGGGGAGGGGCGGCCACUACAGCUGGAGCAGCACCAUGAGCCUCCUUGCAGAGCAGUGGAGGAAGGCGGGCUCAGUGAGCUGUGAGGCCAGUCUGACCGGACAGAGCCCUGUCGCUCAAACCCUGGACCCUGACCGCUGCUCGGAGUAGAGAGACGACCGGAUGGAGUCAUUGUGCUCUACUGUGGGUCCGUGUGAUUUACAUGUGUUCUACUGCAGCUCUGCAUGUCUUCAUGUCUUUUCUUCAACUCAUUAUGACAGUCCAAUGCUGUAUUGUGCUACUUUUGAAACAAGAAUAAAUAUUUCAUGUUCUCAUGUCAUUUGAUUUUCCCAUUUCUAUUUUUACUUUAUUAAAAUAAAAUGUAUCAUCACCAA